AUAGUAAAAUCCACCCUAGGUGGGAGAAAUGAUCGGUCAUCGUUGAAUUAGGAAAAUACUCAUGACUUAGGUGAAAUGAGUAUAUGAAAUUUGAUAAAUAUAAAAACUAAUAUCAGAAUAACGCUCGAAGAAAAACCCGUUUUGGUAGAAUUUGGCAUUCGUCUGAGCAUCUAAUCCUUCAAGGCCGCUGCGUUGUAGCAAGUUUCCGACAGAAGAAUGAACUCUGCGACUUUCAGCUCCACUUUUCUCCGAACCGGCUGCCUCCGCAAGGAAUUGCAGGACGGGGUGAACAAUUUGAAGGCCGAUACGCGCAAUGCAGGGAAGGUGUUUGUUAAAUGUUACGUGAAAACGAAAACCCAGAAAGCAGAAAAGGAAGUUCGGCUUGGUGUUCUUGGAGCCAGUGGUUACACUGGUUCUGAGAUUGUUCGGCUUUUGGCAAACCAUCCUCACUUUGGCAUUACCUUGAUGACGGCUGAUAGAAAAGCUGGACAGUCAAUAGGGUCGGUGUUCCCGCAUCUAGUUUCCCAAGAUCUACCAAAAAUGGUUGCUAUAAAGGAUGCUGAUUUUUCUGAUGUGGAUGCUGUUUUUUGUUGUUUGCCACAUGGAACCACACAGGAAAUUAUCAAAGGCCUUCCCAAGAGUUUAAAGAUUGUUGAUCUGUCUGCUGACUUCCGUCUACGAGACAUAUCUGAGUAUGAAGAAUGGUAUGGUCAGGCACAUAGAGCACCAGAGUUGCAGAAAGAAGUUGUAUAUGGUUUGACAGAGAUUUUGAGGGAGGAGAUAAAAGGUGCACGCGUAGUUGCGAACCCUGGUUGUUAUCCAACUUCUGUUCAACUUCCACUUGUUCCAUUGAUCAAGGCCAAUCUCAUUGAACCUAAAAAUAUUAUCAUUGACUCGAAAUCUGGUGUUAGCGGAGCAGGACGUGGUGCCAAGGAGGCAAACUUGUACACUGAAAUAGCCGAGGGCAUAUAUUCUUAUGGUGUUACUCGUCACCGUCAUGUUCCGGAAAUUGAGCAGGGACUAUCUAAUGCUGCAAAUUCAAAAGUAACCGUUAGUUUUACUCCACACCUAAUGCCAAUGAGUCGUGGUAUGCAAUCAACUAUCUAUGUGGAACUGGCUGCAGGGGUAAAUUUCAAGGACUUAAACCAACAGCUGAAGUUAUCCUAUGAGGAUGAAGAAUUUGUAGUUGUAUUGGAGGAAGGAGCUGUUCCUCAUACUCAUAACACUCGAGGAUCUAACUAUUGUUUCAUCAAUGUCUUUCCUGAUCGAAUUCCUGGGAGAGCAAUAAUCAUUUCUGUUAUUGAUAAUCUUGUCAAGGGAGCUUCAGGCCAAGCCUUACAGAAUCUUAAUCUGAUGAUGGGAUUUCCAGAAAACACAGGGCUUCUUUAUCAACCCUUGUUUCCUUAGCAUAUAAGUUCAUCUCACAUGAGUAAGCAGACGAGUCUAAACUACGACUUCCUUUUUGGCUAGGUAGUUAAAGUGUUGAAAAAGUUGUUUGCAAGAGCUGCAUGACUAUUUCUAGGACUUUACUUUGGUUACACAAGUUUAGAGUUACCUUUUGACCUCCAAUAUUUGCAGAUUUUAAUUCCAAAUUGUAAUUUUGCGGAUAGAGUUUUUUAAUGCUGAUUUUAAUUUCCGGUUUAAUUAAAUAAGUGAGGGUAACUAUGAUUACUGUGUCAACUUGGAGUUGUAGAGCAGGGAUAUUUUCUAGAGUAUCCUAUACUCCGGAGACGAAUUAUAGGCCUGAAUGACAUGUUUUGGGUAUGA